rnacentral:lncRNA from 1 species
CAGAUGGUAAAGAGCUAUUCCUAGUGAGUUUCUCUUCAGCAAAGCAUUUAGUCCAUGCGAAACAAAUCUAAUUAGAAUCCUCCUAUUAUAUUUCACAUCGUAUUCUCUACAUGUAAAUCUUCCAAACAGUUUCUCUCUUUUGGAAAAUCAUUAUUUCACAUUUAUUAAGACAAAGUAUGGUUGAAGGGCUCUGUUGCUGGCUUAUAACUACAGCCCAUCUACAGGUGUCAUAUUUUAUGCACUGAAAAGAGAGUAUUGUUCGGCCACUCUCUAUGCAGGAACUAUGAAUGCCUGGAAACAAAUGACUUUUGACUGCUGAUCAGAACCACACUUUAAUCAGUUACUGGUCUAUGAUCAAUAAUUAAUCAUGCUAUUCUGUCUAGGUAAUAAAUAAUGGGGAAAAUAGCAAUGAAUAUAUAGUUGGCCAGAUUCUCCCU